AAUGGGGAGAGACAGACCGCAGGACAAUCAGAGUCGGGGGGAGAGGAAGGAGCUGGGGACAGGGUGGGACAGGCAGGAGUCGGGCCAAGGCCAGAUGUGCACACGGACUCUCCACGAAGCCAGUUGAGCGUGGAUGAAGGUGCCCACUGGGGCGGGGCUUCCCAGAAGGGUGACAGGGCGGCUGGCCCCCCCCCCCCCAUGCUGGUGUGUGGAUGGUGUCACCCUCCUGAUGUCUGCGUCGGAGCCUGGGAUCCAAACGGGAAGCGUGUCAUUGUCAGUCUCGCCACCGCUCGCCCCCUUGCUGCCGCAGUAACACGUCACCUGUCGGAGGCCGAGCACCGAGGCGUCUACUUCUCACCGGUGCCGGGUCCAGCACGGUCAGUGGGGGUGCCCUCCACGCAGUGACACAGGGGCCCCGGCUGCGUCCGUCUCACCCCGGGGCUCCCAAGGUCGGGCCAGGACCUGCUCUUGACCUCCAGCCUCGCAGUGGCCGCUCGUCUCGGUGCAGACGGUCUGGAGCCCCUUGGCCUGGGUGACCGGACGGGGCUCACUGUCCCGCGCCUCUGUGUGACCUCUCUGGUCACUUCCCUGUCCCAGAAAUGGGUGGUGACGUCACCUCUGUCUCGGCUGGCGGUGAGGACAGACGCUGGCCCGCGAUCAGCGCACAAGAAAUGCUGCCUGUCGUCAUGCUCGACAGCAGGGACGUGACAACAGAACAGAAGCCCGUUGGCGCGCGUUCGAAGCACCGGUGUGACUGUGAGGUUGUCGUUGCCUCCUCGCGGACCAGCCUCACGGUGCGAAGCGGCGGACGGUCGCGGCUCCGCCCCGGCCUGGACCCGCAGCCUGCAGCCCAAGGUCACCAGCGGAGUCUCCUUUCCCACGCGGGGAGCAGCCGUCCUGUCCGGCGCCUCCUCCCUCGGCACCGCGUCCCCGAGCCAGCAUUCCGUCCGAGUGUUGUUGCACCUUCCUUCCUGGACUUGCCUGGGUCACGCACUCAUCCGCGAACAGGCACGGCGGCCUGAGGGAGACGGCGCGCUGUUAACUGAGGCCACGUAAUGGGUUGCUUCCCAGCCACGGAUGGAGUCAACUUCGACUUACGUGGGCUGCAGGGUUGCUGAGGCAGUGGAUUUCAAAGACCCUGUGAUGCCUGUACGUAGUCACCGUCUUUCCCUGGAGGCAUCACCACCCACUCUCCCAGGACUUGUUAGGCUGUUUCCUCACCAUCAGCCACACCAUGUGCAGAUGGGUGACUUUCCCUUCUCUGACUUGGUUUUGCACUUAGGACAGUUGUUUUUCCUUGUGAUCACAAGGAGAGCUUUUGGUGGCGGGGGGGAGGGGAGGGUGCGGCGCGCAGUGGGCCGAACGGGGAAGCGCUCCUUCCUUUUCUCCGUCUGUAGCAGAAAAGCCCCUCCAGUGGCAGCCAGGGCUGAUCUCUGGGUGUUAACGUUGAGUAAAGAGCAUCUGAGGCCAUGUUGAAGAUUUCAUAUGGUGGCCCUGCAAUGAGGAACGCGUGAAUGAAUAGAAAAGAUGUGGUUUGGGGGCGGGAGAAUAUGUUUUCUUGGGGGGAUGGGGGUAAAUUGGCCAGUUGUCCGUGACCUUGUGUGACGGUCCGAGGCGAGUGAAGCAAUGCCUUCUACCUGAGAAGCACUUUUGGGAACGUAGACUAGGCUGUUAAGGUUGGCCCUGUUGCAUCAAAACCUCAGUUCCCUUCUACGGCAGAUUUCUCUUUCAACGAGUGAAAAUGCCCAAGUAAUUGAUAACGUAGGUGUGAACUGUGUGCUCGCUUUUUAAAAAGUUUCUUUUUCGCUGACGUAGUAACCUUCUCCCAAAAGUUGUGUUUGUUUCAUGUCUGCAGUCACUGCAGCUACAGUUCAGGGUGUUCCUGAAACGCCCGCUGACUCUGAGGUUGUGAUCUUACCGAGACAGUUACCGAGGAGAAGGCAAGUAUGCGUGAUAAAGAGAAGAGAAGUUAAAGAAGAAUUUUUGCGAGGAGCUUCAAUGCUGUUCCAUCCACACGUUCAUUUUGUUCCAUCCCACCCCUUCCACUCACUUUACCCAUUCCAUUCCAUGCACUCUGUUCCAUGCACUCCGUUCCAUCCCUCUGAUGAUUGUUAAUGUCUUGCCACAUGCCAGACACCAAAUCUAUGCGAGUGCCCCUUUUGUCUCUAUAGUAGUCACCCUUCCGUCCCCAUCUCAGAAGACCACAGCCACUGAUCGAGUCAUAGAUUGUUGACUGCACUCAGGACGAUGAGGACUGUCACUCUCACUGCCAUCUCCUGUUCCAGCCUCCCUGGGUCCAUACUUGAGGACCUUUCCUCCCCACGACACUCAUUUGAGCAUAAUUCGCUGGAGAUUCAUCCAAAUUUUUGCAUACGUCAGCAAUUCAUUCCUUUCCAUCAUUGCACAGUGUUCCACGGCCCGGGUGUAGUUUGUUCGGCCAUUCACCCGUUGAAGGACAGCAGGGCUGUCUCAGGUUUUGGGGCCGUUAUGAAUAGAGCUGCUGGAAACAUUCACGUGCAGUUUCCUGUAGGAACAUUUCUUCUCUCUGGGAGAAAUGCCCAAGAGCGCAGUCGUGGGAUAGUGUGGUUGUAGGUUAGUUUUAUAUGAAACUGCCAAUCUGGUUUCCACGGCAGCUGUACCAUGACACGUCCCCGCCAGCAACGUGUGACUGACCUGAUUCCCCACCUUCUAAGUAUUUGCUGUUCUCACUCGCAACUUUCUAUUUUAGCCGUUCCGACAGAUGUGUGGUUUUCGUUUGCAUUUUCCUGAUGGUUAGCGAUGUGGAGCAUCUUUUCAUGGGUUUAUUUGCCAUUCAUACGUCCUCUUUGGUGAGACGUCUGUUCCUGUGGUUUGUGCAGUCUCUAAUAGGAUUGUUUGUAUUUUCACUGGUUAACUCUGAGAGUUGUUAACGUAUUCCGGACAUUAUUUCGUUGUCAGAUGUACGGUUUGCCAGUGUUUCCUUCUAGCCUGUAGCUUGUCUCUCCGUCCUCUUCACAUGGGCUCAUGCAGGGCUGAGGUUUUCAGUUUGGGUGAGGUUCCCUCCUAGACAGCCCACUUCUAACCUGUUGACUUGACCUCCAAACUUUCCCGGUCUCCACCCACCUUUCUCCAUCUCCAUGGGUCCCUUCUAAAGCUGUGUGCUGUGGGCUACUCCUCCCAUAGCCCUGGUGGCCCUCCCUUCUCCACCCUGGAGGUGUUGGUAGAACCUCCCAGAGAAGGCCUCCUACAGACCCUCCCUGCAGGCAGACGCAGCCCAUCUCACGCCCUCCGCCAGGCAUCAGACGAGGCGGCUGAUGGCUUCCGAAACAGACAUGUCAGAAUUUGCCAUUUGUAGUCAGUUGCCAGUGGACUUUAGAACCUAGGUGUCAUGUUUUUGCCUCGUUUAAAGUUUCUUUUUUUAUUAUCCUGAGUUUUAUUUUGAGAGAUGGCAGGAAAUUGUCAUAUUAACAUUAGAGGAACGUAUUCUGUUCUCGUUUUGGCCAGUUAUAUGCGUUCUUCUAUGUUAGUGUCGUUUUUCUUUUCUUUAGUGGCGGUGAUCGGCAUAGUGAAUUUAGGCAUUUACAGACCAUUGCUUGCCAGAGAUUCUUUGUUAGCUUCUUAAUUCUCAUCGUCUAGGAGCAGGAAACUUCAUAACAGGAAUAGUGAGGCUUUCCCGUAGGCUAAGAUCUAGAUCAGUCACUGGGACCAGCGUCCUCUGCAGACCACACAAGCGGCCUGCACGCACCCUGGCCAGUAGCUGCCGGCUGUCACAGUUCAGACAGGAUGUUAGCAGAGGAGAACGUGGAGUAAGGUGGAGUCUCCCGUUUCUGGUGCAGGAGAUCUGGAGGCGAGACAGCAGUUAUUAGAGAGAUUUUUUUUUUUAAACCAACGGAAAAUUUCUUCUGUCUUUCCUCACAGCCGUGGGAGAUUCCAGACUUCAGCAUCAGAAAUGUAUUUGAACCCAGCAGUCUCAGUAGUGUAUUUGUCACAAAUGGGGCUAAACCGACCGGCACGGCCAAGUUACAUCUGGGUAAUGAGCCAAGAGUCUGCUCUUCCCACUGAAAGUGGGAUUUAACUUGGCAUUUCAUCAGAAAGAGGAGAAAAUGCAUGUGUUUUCACAUUUUCUCAUUUCCGACCGUCUGAGCACCAGUCAGCACCCCAAGUUAUCAAGUCAGAAUGCAGUGGAACUGUUCUGUGAGGUGUGGAGCCACAUUCCUGAUUCGGGUAUGUCACCACCGGGCCGUGCUUCCGUCACUGUCUCUGGAGCACCACGGGAGGCGGGGUCUAGGGAGGACCACAACUGGCUCUGCAGAUCUGAAAUGACCCCGGGCGACACACCCACCAAGCAGGCUCGGGGAGGUCUCGGCUCGUGCAGGAGUCUGCUGUGCUGCCCUCCGGCAUUUCAGGAUGUCUUCGGUGUCGCCAAGAACACACGUCCUGCGGAGAGAUGAUUUUCCUGGUGGGCAAGUGUGACUUGAGGCCAAGUGCUGUCUCCUCCUGGCAGGUUCCUUGGAGCCCUGAGCAGACGGAUCUCCCGUGGACUUGCCGGAACACGGAGCUGAGAGCCUGCUCCGUGUCAGUGAGGCCACUGUGGCUUUCAGGGCAUUUGACAUGGAGCACGUGUUUUCGGGGACUCAGAAGAAGAGCCUUCAGGGCUCUUUGAGGAAGGACUUGCAAGAGAAGAAUCCUCCACCCCAAGGGAACACAGCAUCGUGUCUUGCCUGGUGCCUGCACAGCCCCCUGACCGGUCUAGUGGCUUCCACAGAUGUUCCCUCACCCCCUCUGCACUCCUGGGGCAGACUGAACGAGCUUUUAAAGAAACACAUCUCGUCCUUUGCCCCUUCUGCUGGGGACCUGCCCUGCUCCCCUCACACCUGCUUGUUGAAGCACGUGUGGACGACUCACCAGGCCCUUGUCGGCGCAUCGGCAGACUGGAAACGCUGCUCGCCCUUUCCACGUGGACCAGUGUCCUCACGCCGGGGCCUGGCCAGGGGCUGGCUCCCCAUGUCCGAGGGCGCCGAGUCCCCGCUGCGGCCGCUGGCUCAGGGCCCAGCUGGGGUCCGACGGAGGGGGCGGCAGAGCGGGGCUGCAGUGCAGGAGUGCUUCCUGGUGGCGAUGGUGGGGC